GCCGAUGUAGCUCAGUUGGUAGAGCGGCGCUUUCGUAAAGCGUAGGUCGCAGGUUCGAUCCCCGCCAUCGGCU
rnacentral:tRNA from 1 species